AAUUAAAAGGGGAAUGGAAACAAGGGAGAGAAAUAAAGUAUACAAACAUUAGCAAAAAGAAAAUUCCAAAUUUCUGUGCGUGAGAUGAUGAUCCAAGAUUAGGUUUUUUGGUUAUCAAACUUGGCUGCAUUGUAGCUUAUAGGAAAAAGAACAAGAGGAAGAAAUUCAAUAAUGACCCAAGUCGAGUUCUUGUUCCACCUUACUUCGUAGGUUUAUUUGCUUGAGUGAAGACCUUUUUGAUAAAAGAGAUGUACUAGUACAUGAGAACUUCCCUUCGUGUGUGGUAAAUGGUACCAGAAAUUCUUGGUUCACUAUUGCAUCAUUGUUCUAAGACCAAGGCAUUCCAUUAUGGACUCUCUCUUCAUGCAGCUGCAAUCAAGUCAGGCUUACAAGGUGAUGUUCUCAUAUCCAAUCACAUCCUCAACAUGUAUGCCAAGUGUGGAAAUAUUAACUUUGCCAGUCAGAUUUUUAAUGAGAUGUCCAAAAGAAAUCUCGUUACCUGGUCAGCCAUGAUCGCUGGUUAUGAUCAAGAUGGUAAACACCUCAUGGCUAUCAGCCUCUACUCCCAAAUGCCACUAGAGCCCAAUGAAUUUGUCCUUGCUAGUGCUCUUAGUUCAUGUGCUAACCUCUUGGCCUUGAAACUUGGUAGACAAAUACAUUCCCAGUCUAUCAAAUUAGGCUGUUCAUCCAUUUCGUUUGUGUCCAACUCUCUGAUCUCAAUGUACAUGAAAAAUGGUCAAUGUAGUGACGCUCUAUCAGUUUUUGCAUUGACACCCACUCCCACUGAUGUCUCUUACAACACAAUCAUAAUGGGUUUGGUAGAAAGUAAUCAAAGAGAGAAAGCAUUUGAAGUCUACAAAAGUAUGUGCCAACAAGGGUUGGUUCCGGACCGCUUUACCUUUGUUGGCUUAUUAGGAACCUGCAAUACUGCACAUGAUUUGGGGAAAGGAAUGCAAUUGCAUAGCCAAACAAUCAAGCUCAAUCUUGAUGGGACCGCCUUUAUAGGCAAUAUAAUAAUGACAAUGUACUCAAAUUUGAACUUGUUAAAUGAAGCUGACAAAAUUUUCAGAUCAAUCAAAGAGAAAGAUGUCAUUUCAUGGAAUACUCUCAUUGCUGCUUGUUCUCGUUGUGAUGAUCAUUCUAAGGCCUUGGUUGUUUUUAGAGAGAUGGUUGAAUAUUUUGAUGGAGGGCCUGAUGAGUUUACUUAUGCUAGUCUGCUUUCUGCAUGUGCUGGCAUGGGUUCGAUGCAAUUUGGGCAGCAAAUACAUGCUCAUCUUAUUAGAAAAAGCUCAAGUGUAGAUAUUGGUGUUGUCAAUGCCCUUGUGAACAUGUAUGCUAAAUGUGGCUGUAUCCAGUAUGCAUAUACAACUUUUAGGCUAAUGAUUUCUCGUAACCUUGUCUCAUGGAAUAGUGUCAUUGCUGGAUUUGCUAACCAUGGCCACGGAAAAAAAGUUAUAAAAUUAUUCGAGGAGAUGAAGAGUGUUGGUUUAAAGCCUGAUUCUGUCACAUUUCUCGGACUUCUAGUCGCUUGCAAUCAUGCAGGGCUUGUAGAUGAGGGCCUAUAUUACUUCAAUACCAUGAACGAGAUUUAUGGGGUUACUCCCGACAUUGAACAUUUCUCUUGCCUCAUUGAUUUACUAGGACGAGCUGGGAGACUGAAAGAUGCUGAAGAAUACAUGCAAAGGUACCCCUUUGGGCAUGAUUCAGUUGUUUUAGGUUGCUUACUUUCAGCUUGUCGGCUGCAUGGUGAUGUUGUAAUUGGGGAAAGAAUGGCUAAGAAGCUCCUACAGCUUCAGCCAGUUUCUACUUCGCCUUAUGUUUUGUUAUCAAACUUAUAUGCUUCAGACGAGAGGUGGGAUAGUGUAGCAGAGGCAAGAAAAAUGCUGAAGAGUUGUGGUUUAAAGAAGGAGGCAGGUCAUAGUCUCAUUGAAGUGAAGGGAUCUGUUGAGAAGUUCACAAUUGGCAAUUUUGCGAACUCGAGGAUUGAGGAAAUCGUGAAUGUGCUUGGAACUUUAGGCUGUGGAUGGGAUGAAGAAAUUAUCCUCCUUGAUUCAGCAUAGGAAAGGCAGAUCUGUUCCCACUGCUUCAGCACUAUUGCGAACAUUAAGCUCGGCAUGUACGAAGGAUUUCUGAAAUGACAGAUUUUACUGAACUAACAAAGUCUGACAGGUCGAGUUUUGUGACUGCAAUCACCCUAUGCUUUGGUAACAGCUGAGUUUGUUGCCCUCAUUCUUUAGGGAUGGAUUUGGCAUUUUGAUCCCCACUGACUGAAAUUUUCCUCUUUAAGGUUUCACAAUUUGAUCCUACUGA